UACGGAGGGAGCUAGCGUUGUUCGGAAUUACUGGGCGUAAAGCGUACGUAGGCGGCUUUGUAAGUUAGAGGUGAAAGCCUGGAGCUCAACUCCAGAACUGCCUUUAAGACUGCAUCGCUUGAAUCCAGGAGAGGUGAGUGGAAUUCCGAGUGUAGAGGUGAAAUUCGUAGAUAUUCGGAAGAACACCAGUGGCGAAGGCGGCUCACUGGACUGGUAUUGACGCUGAGGUACGAAAGCGUGGGGAGCAAACAGG
rnacentral:rRNA from 1 species